CACAUCUGAGGCACUGUAUUUAGAUGAACAGCUGAACAUUCCUCAGUGAUGGAGCGACCUCUGAUGGAGCUCGAGCUCUUGAAUCACAGCGCGUUCACGGAGGAUCUGACCAGAGGAUCCUGACAGCCCGAGGCACUGCCGACAAACUUCACACCGGGGCAAAAACGUGAGAACGGAGGACACACAAAAUAAAAAAGUCAUCUCGGUGCACAAGAUAGUCGAUAGAGUGAGCAGAAAAAGACAGGACAACCUUGAGCGGGUGUAAAGGACAGUUUGAAGAAGGACCAGGCUCCUGUGUGUGACCUAUCGUCUGUGGCCUUGGGAGAGCGGCUCUGCUUUGGCCCAAUGCAGAGAUCAUCUAUCAGUUUCUGUCACAUGAGGACGUGUGUCUGUCUGUUCUGGACCCAUUCUCUGAUCCAGCAUCAGUUUGCUGAAGGCCUCAAGCAUUCAUCACCCUGAAACCCAGCAGGAUUUUCACACUGUCCCACUCCUCUGAUCCUGCCUCUUCUUCUCCUGCGUGCCUCUCUCAGCCCUUCCUGGAGACCCCAGGGCCCCUCAUCCACAAUGGAGAGCA